CUUCAACUCUUCUAUUUUCAUUUUUUGCAGGAACUGUUCAAUUGUUCAGCAACCCACUUCCAUCUGAAAUUAAAGUAAAGGACUGCAGCGAUAUCACCUUCUUCUUUUUUUUGUAGAAGAUCCCUAUCACAUCUAUACAAAAAACCUUUUAUUAAUUGAAAUUUCUCCGGGCCCCAGACGUUGAGAUGGAUUUCGUCACCAUUUCCGCCAAUCAAAUUUAUUAUAAGG